rnacentral:lncRNA from 1 species
CACCCCCACACCUUCUAGGCAUUACUCCCAGGGGCUUCAUAAUUCCAUUGAGACCCAGGAGAGAGCUCUGAAAUGUAGCUUCAGAGUCCCGAACACGUUGCUUCCCCUAAUAAAAUAAAGGUCUGAACCCAGAGUGUCUGCAUGUCUAAUGAGCACCUGGGUAGAGCCUCCCAUUGGAAGGACCGUUUCCUGGGCGUGGUUUGCUGGGUGAAGCUCUGUGAUCAAGGUGGAGUCUCAUGUACAUUGCUGACCUCAAACUUGCCAGGUAGCCGAGGCUGGCUUUGAACUCUGGACGCUCCUGCCUAAGUCUCCCAACUGCUGAGGUUACAGGUGUU